rnacentral:rRNA from 1 species
CCCGUCAGUGGCGGACGGGUGAGUAAUGCGUAGGGAUUUGUCGUUGGGUGGGGGACAACCUUGGGAAACUGGGGCUAAUACCGCAUGACGCCUUUGGGCCAAAGCCUUUCGGGGCGCCUGACGAGAAGCCUGCGUCCGAUUAGCUUGUUGGUUGGGUCAUGGCUGACCAAGGCUUCGAUCGGUAGCUGGUCUGAGAGGAUGAUCAGCCACACUGGGACUGAGACACGGCCCAG